CACACGUACCCAUCCCGAACACGACCGUUAAGCCCUCCAGCGCCGAUGGUACUUGGACCGAAGGGUCCUGGGAGAGUAGGACGCCGCCAAGC
rnacentral:rRNA from 1 species